GUCCAAGGAGUUCCUGAUCCGGGUCAGCAGUGACAGGGGUUUGGCCAGACUGUCCCUGUUCGGUCUGUGAAUGAAGCUGAACCACAGCUGUAGGUAUUGCAUGUGUUGCACUGGUGUGAGGAUUGACUUCAGGGAAUUGGUCUGUAAGCCCAGCUCUGUGAACAAGCGUAUCAUGUCCUCGGUGGCUCGACAAGCAUCCAGAAGUGACUGGGCUCUGAGGAGAUAAUCGUCCAGAUUCCCAGUGACCCGAGAGUGGCCCUGGGAUCCUUCAAGGAGUGGAGAGAGGCAUCUGUCUUCUCAGCGAAGAACUUCACCUCUCCAAAAGGGGGGGAUCCUCCACCGUGGUCUGCACCUCCUUUGGGAAUCCCGAGAGGUGGAGCCAUGAUGCCUGUCUCAUCACCACUGCCAUGGAGUGUCGAGGGCCGAUUGCAACGAUGUGUUUGCAGUCGGUUGCCCCUCCUGGAUGAUGGCCUUGAAGGAAUACCGGGAGCUCUCCAGCAGCUUAUCAAUAAAGUUGUGUAACUUAUUGUAAUUUGUGUCAUACUUUGCCAUGAGUGCCUGGUAGUUGGCAUUGUGAAAUUGCAAGGUGGCCAAGGAGUACGCCUUCCUACCAAAGAGAGCAAGGUGUUUCCAAUCUCUGUCAUAGGGUGUUGUCCUAGAAUGGUGCUGUCAGCCAUGAAGUUCCCAACAUCCACCACAAUGGAAUUGAGUGGUGGAUGGGUGAAUGGGAACUCUGAUUCCUUUACGAGGGCAUAAUAUUUUUUGUCCACCUGCUUUGUCCCCCCACUCCGGUGUUAACACAAGAACAAAGUCUUUUCUUUCUUCUUUUUGUUAGUUUUGAGGUUUUUUCCAAUUUUUUAGGCACAGCCAUAUAAAAGCCAAAAGAAAGCUAAAAGGUUUCUACAAGCUAAAGAUUAACAACUGAAAAGGAGAGUUAAUGAUCUGCUAACGGACAGCUAAAGGCUCCAUUUCUAGUCAGGGCAGUUGAGAAGCCGCUGAGGAUAGCGUAGCAGGAAGAGAGACAGCGAACUGACACUGUUACUGAAGUUCUCCGAUCAGCAGUGCAGGGACACAGACCUACCUACAAUGGAGCACCCAUAUGGACCCUACUCAAAGAAGAAGUUAUUUACCCUUUCUCAUAACACUUGAACCAGGGAUCAGCUAAUGAAAUUAACAGGCAGCAGGUUUAAAACAAACUAAAGGAAGUAUA